AUUGAACGCUGGCGGCAUGCUUUACACAUGCAAGUCGAACGGUAACAGGCCGCAAGGUGCUGACGAGUGGCGUACGGGUGAGUAAUGCAUCGGAACGUGCCCAGUCGCGGGGGAUAACUACUCGAAAGAGUAGCUAAUACCGCAUACGCUCUAUGUAUGAAAGCGGGGGACCGUAAGGCCUCGCGCGAUUGGAUCGGCCGAUGUCAGAUUAGGUAGUUGGUGGGGUAAAGGCGCACCAAGCCAACGAUCUGUAGCUGGUCUGAGAGGACGACCAGCCACACGGGGACUGAGACACGGCCCAGACUCCUACGGGAGGCAGCAGUGGGGAAUUUUGGACAAUGGGCGCAAGCCUGAUCCAGCAAUGCCGCGUGCAGGAAGAAGGCCUUCGGGUUGUAAACUGCUUUUGUACGGAACGAAACGGCUCUGGUUAAUACCCGAUGCUAAUGACGGUACCGUAAGAAUAAGCACCGGCUAACUACGUG
rnacentral:rRNA from 1 species